GCCGAAGUGGUGAAAUGGCAGACACAGGGGACUCAAAAUCCCCCGCUCGCAAGGGCAUGUGGGUUCAAGUCCCACCUUCGGCA
rnacentral:tRNA from 1 species